rnacentral:rRNA from 1 species
UACAGAGGGGGCAAGCGUUGUUCGGAAUUACUGGGCGUAAAGGGCGCGUAGGCGGCCUUCUAAGUCGAACGUGAAAUCCCCGGGCUCAACCCGGGAACUGCGUCCGAUACUGGAAGGCUUGAAUCCGGGAGAGGGAUGCGGAAUUCCAGGUGUAGCGGUGAAAUGCGUAGAUAUCGGGAGGAACACCUGUGGCGAAAGCGGCGCACUGGACCACAACCGACGCUGAGGCGCGAAAGCUAGGGGAGCAAACAGG